CUCAGAUGAAACAGGCUGGGAGAGUAACAGGACGUGACCUCACCUGCAAAGGAUCUAUCUAGAGGAGACGGAAAACACCAGCUUAGAUCAUCGAAAAGUGAGACUCCCAAGUCUCCAGGCCAGGAGGCAGUCUCAUGUAACUCAGGCUGCCCUCAAGCUCACAAAAUUAUGAAUAACUUUCAACUUCUGAUUGUCCUGUCUGCACCCCUGAGCACUGGAAUAACAGGAAUAUGGGUGAGGGGUCAUAAGGAGCAGAAAUGACUCAAAGACAGCUGCAUCGCCAAAGCACAGUCCCAGCAAAAAUGAUGGCUUACAAAGCUGGGAACCUGGAGCACACGGCACAGCCUGCAGGCCACUCAACAGAUUAGAGAGUGGCCUUGCCACUUGUCUCUGCUUCUUCCAGGUAGCUUAGCUGGGGUCUGGUUCCUCUAGACAGCUGGUCUGAUCUCAAGAGUCUUGGCAGCCUUUCUCCUCUGAGAGUCUCUGUGCAACUCAGCUUUGGUUCGUGUGAAAAGGACUCUCAUCUUUUACUGCUUACUCUUGCAGGGAGGGGCCUAGUGAAUCUGGUCCAUUUCAGGGACUUCCUGAAGCUAUUUUGAGGUGUUUACCUUCCUGCUUAAGGAGCUUCCCUGCAAGAUGGGAUGGUUCAGUCUCAGAGGGAACGUACACAACAUAGCUAAAGAUGGUAAGGUAAGCCUACAUGGAGGAGUCUUUAGGGAGUGGGACCUAGAAGAAGGCAGGAGGUCCGUAGCCCUGUGUCCCUGAAGGCAUGUUGGACCCACCCUCUCUGCAUUCUGACCUCUGAACACAGCUGCUUCUCCGUGCGUUCUCACGCUACACUGUGCAACCAAAGGGCCCAGAGACGAUGGCCGAAACCUCUGAAACUGUAGACUGGAACAAAUCUUCCCCCUUUGAGCUACUAUCUCUGGGUUAGGGAGAUAGCUUAGUUGACAGAGUGCUUACCUGGUGCUCGAGAAGAUCAGAGUCUGAUCCCCAGGCCGGAAUAAAUCAGGUGUUGUGGUGGUGAAUACCCGGAAUCUCAGCACUUGGGAGGCUGGGCAGGAGGAUUGUUGUGAUUCUAACAAAUAAUAAGAGGGCUCCUAAGUGCAGACUGGUUUUAAGAAAAAAAAAAUCAAAUAGGGGCUGAAACAAUGACUCAGUGGACCUUAGUUUGAUCCCCAGAAUCCACAAGGAGGCUCACAACCCAUGUAACUUCAUUCAGGGGAUCUGAGGUCCUUUUCUAGAUUCCACAGGGACUGCAUACACAUGAUGCGUAGUCAUACAGACAAAUACCAUACACAUUAAAUCAAUUACCUCUGGCUACAUUAUAAAAUGUGUAUAAAAUAAAAUUAAGUUCUUCUUUAGACUUGAGUCCUCUAAGAUACCUCAGUAUGUAUACAUAAAUGUCUAUAAAUUAAAAAAGAAUCCAA